CUGGAGUACUCGAGUGGCGAACGGGUGAGUAACACGUGGGUGAUCUGCCCUGCACUUCGGGAUAAGCUUGGGAAACUGGGUCUAAUACCGGAUAGGAGCCAUCUUUAGUGUGGUGGUUGGAAAGUUUUUCGGUGUAGGAUGAGCUCGCGGCCUAUCAGCUUGUUGGUGGGGUAAUGGCCUACCAAGGCGGCGACGGGUAGCCGGCCUGAGAGGGUGUACGGCCACAUUGGGACUGAGAUACGGCCCAG
rnacentral:rRNA from 1 species